GGCCUCGUAGCUCAGUUGGCAGAGCAUUGACUAGUAUCCCAAAGGUCGCGGGUUCGAUUCCCACCGUGGUCA